rnacentral:tRNA from 1 species
GCGGGCGUCGUGUAAUGGUAACGCCUUGGCCUUCCAAGCCAUUGAUACGGGUUCGAUUCCCGUCGCCCGCU